rnacentral:lncRNA from 1 species
ACCAGUUCCAGGGCCUCUACCAAAUGUGGCAGCAGGAGGCACAGAAGGGGAGACUUCACAUAAGGAGAGCAAGCAUGGAGUCCACCCGAGUAUUCUUCCCUCUGGUAAUAGCCAGGCUUAAACAAAUUGGUUCCAUGUGUACCCUCCCCAACACCUAGUUGAUAGCUUUGUUACCGCGGCUUUCGCCCUGUUUUCACAUGAUGAUAGACCUGCCUCUUUGUAUUGUAACCUGUCCUGAUAUCACUAGGAGUCUCGUGCCAGGGUUUCACUCUCUGAUUCUCUAACGUAUCUCUAUUAUAGUUGACUUUGCAAUACAGCUUCGUUACUGGGGAAGAGGGUUCUUAUCAUAUUUCAAAUGGUCUUUAAUGGUAUUGAUUUUUAUGUUUUCUUUUUCUUUCUUAACUAAUGAGGUGAGAAAAAACAAGUUAGGCAGAAGGAAAAUAUAAGUCUGAGCCCACCGUGGCUAAGGAAGCAAGCGCCAAAGCCUUGAAUUCUUCCUACCAUAGUUCCGAGUAGCUAUUAAGUUUCUCUCCUUGGACUUAGAGCCUCCUAACCAUAGCUCAGCUAUGUGCUUCCUUGAGGGCUGGAUGACUAUAACCUUAACAUUCCUGAGUAGGGUUCAGUGUUUUUUAACUGCCUUUUGAAACCAGAGUCUCCUAUAACUGAAAGAUACAGGAUACAUGAAGGAAGGAAGGUGGGUGGGUGUGGAAGGCGCUCUUCUAACAACUGCUUUCCCAGCCAGUGGCUAGCUCAAGGAACCAAAACCAUGAGAGUAUUUUCAGCCAGGGCCAGGCCUCGGAGCAAAUUAUGAUUCACCCAGGAUCUAGACAUACACUAUCCUUCCUUGUCUUCGGGGCCUAUGUACUAAAGCAUCCCUUCGGGUGGAUGCCUGAAAUCCUCAAUAGUACCAAUGCUUGUAAAUAGCACAAUUGUUAAUCUCAUCACUGAGGGGACUAAUAAGUGACUAAAGAAAGGCUGCCUGUAUAGCAUGGAUACACUGGAUAAAUAUAUGAUUGAUGGUCCAUGUGGGAUGGAGCAAGCUUUCAUCACACUGCACAGAAUGGCACAUAAUUUAAAACUGAUCAGCCAUUUGACUCUACGAUGUUCCAUUUAAUAUUGUCAACCAUGGUUGAGCAUGAGAACGGAAACUCUGGAAAGUCAAACUGCAGGUAAGAGGGAUUGAUGCGCAAAGCACUAAAGCUGUUGCUCUCGCCAAGACCUGACGUUGGUAGCCAGCUUCUAUCCUGGAAAAGCAUCCAAGUGAGCAAUAGCAAGAGGGGACUCAUCACCAAACCGCCCUUCUAUCUUGCUCAGUCUUCUGUUCCCUACUAACUGGGUACAUUCCUUGAUGAUGUCGCCUAACGAUCUCUCAAAAGCCCAAAACAACCAAGCCCUGGCAUCACCACCUGUCACAGCUGAGUUCCUCAGGGUCCUUGGACAUUCCCUGUAGCUUCAGUGUUACUUUAUUCAACCAAAGAAUUGGCCAAGGAACUUCACAGCUGCUACAAAUACCGGCCACUCUCUUCCAUUCUCUGCACACUGUGUCUGACAGCUAUGGGAGAAUCUUGGCUGGCGAGGUAUUCUAAAGGGAUGGGAGCCUUUUCUAUGAGCCAUUGGGUAUGCUUUUUAGUACUGCUGCCUCUGCAAUAAGCACUGUUUAUCUCUCAGUACUGCCAUUCUCCCCUCAAGUGGGAGAUCACAAAUUAUCUUCAACAUGACUCUAAAAGUAUACUGAGCGCUGAAGCUCAGUUGCUGCUAUGCUAUGCUAUGGUGUACCACAAAGUACUGUGCAGCGCUAUGCUGCGUUAUGCUGUUCUGUGCUUUUCUGUUCAGAAUGGCUGAGAGUUUACCCAAAGUAAAAUUGAGAGGGGUGAGGAACUGUUUGAAUAAAAGCCACACUUGCCUUACCUUUUUUAAAUAUAAUGGGCCCUAGGACAAUCAAUAAGGAAGUUGAAAUGUCUUAUACUAGAAUAGUGAGAGUUGUGUGUUCUGUCAUUCCAAGAUGUGUUUGGCUACAGUAGAACAAGGAACAUUCACUUUACUGGAUAUCAUGGCCAUAGGCUGGGUAUUUGUAGCCUUCGUUAGGUUUAUUAUACCUUAAGUAUAUGAUACCAAAAAUACUGUUAACUGUGGUUUGUGUGUGUUUGUUUGUUUGUUGUGUUGGCAUUGUUAGAGAUGGAGCCCAACACCUUAUAUAUACUGGGCAAGUGUAUCACUGAGCUAUAGCCCCAGCCUUAAUUCUCAGUUUUUAUCACUUGCCCCACCUCAAAAUGGUUUAUACAUUUGGAAUCAGAAUACACGGCUGAGUUUCCAAAGUAUUUGAAAGAUAACUUCACAACUAUACAGAGCUCAAUAGACUGAACUAACACUGGUAUGCCCUACUCCUGCUAUGGCCUUCCCAAAGUGAGAAUACAAAAUGCCAGUGCUAUUGGCAUGGGUUCAUUCUCUUUCUCUCUCUCUCUCUCUCUCUCUCUCUCUCUCUCUCUCUCUCUCUCUCGUCUUGCCUUCUGGGAUCAGCCAUCUUUCAAGGCCUCUGCGAAGAUAGCAGAGCGGCAUGGAAGUACGUUCAGAGGUUGACCCACCCCCUCAAAGGUUGCUGAUCAUCUACUCUUUCCCUUCAAAUAAAUCUCAUUGGAUAAUACAAAAGCAGGGUGGUGGAUACAAGGGAAUCAAUGCAAGAUUGUGAUCAUAUGCCUGUUCUUCUCCCAUCCCCAGGGCUGUAGGUAAUUGACUCCCCUCAAGUACUACUAUUGAAGGCUCAGCUAAGACAUAAAAGUAAAUACCCAAGUGGAGUCUAAAGGAAUGGGAUAGCUUUACUGAAAUUAAAGUCCUAAAAAGGGAGAAAUUGGAUGCACAGGAAAGGAAAGAGAGUAAAAAUAUGAAAAGCCUCUUUGAAGAUUGGCUUCAUACUUCUGUUUGCCAUUUAACCUCAUAUGCCAAGAAAGGUGCCUAAGGGGUACCAGACUUUUCUAAUACCAAGCCUCCACUAGAGGAAGUUGGGUGUACUUCUGGCUAUGUCUACCCAUGUGGAAUUUGGUAGCUCUUUCUUUGCCAGAGGAGCUAUGUAUGGCAGUAAUAAUUAUGUGGCAGAAUAUUGUAUUAUUUGAAGAUUAAAUCCUUAGAAGGGGGCAGGGUGUGGGGCAGUGUAUAUAAAGAGUCAGUGUUUGCUGGACAAUUUCGGGGAAUUGUCUAUCCCAUUUAAUGCUAUUAUUUUUCUGGGUCUUACUACAUUUGUGUCCUCCACCACUUCCUUCUUGGCUGACGUUGAUAUGCCUGCCAUAUUGUCAUCAAGGACCAUACUUCAAUAAAAGGUGCUAAGGAC